rnacentral:ncRNA from 1 species
GUAUGCUUGCCACCGGGUAAGUAUAAAAGUGUCAAGAGUACUUCAUUAGGUCUUAGAAGAAGUACUUUUGGCACUUUUUUUUUA